rnacentral:lncRNA from 1 species
GCAGCUGCUCCCUGAUCUCCAUCAGUACUUGAGUUUUUGGAGCAUUGAAAGGGGCGUAGCUGUGGAAUCUUCCUGGGGGAGAGCUCCGUCGAACUCUACGGUCUGGGCAUCUCUGCCUACGAGCUCGGUGGGAAGUUCGGACAUGCUUGUAUCCGGAGGGAGUUCGAGAACGUGACUGAGCUUUACUCGACCCUUUUUCAGCUGCGGGCUUGCUGGAGUCACCCA